rnacentral:rRNA from 1 species
UACGUAGGGGGCAAGCGUUGUCCGGAAUCAUUGGGCGUAAAGCGCGUGUCGGCGGUUCGGUAAGUCCGCUGUGAAAGUCCAGGGCUCAACCCUGGGAUGCCGGUGGAUACUGUCGGACUAGAGUACGGAAGAGGCGAGUGGAAUUCCCGGUGUAGCGGUGAAAUGCGCAGAUAUCGGGAGGAACACCAAUUGCGAAGGCAGCUCGCUGGGACGUCACUGACGCUGAGACGCGAAAGCGUGGGGAGCAAACGGG